UAGGGAAUCUUCCACAAUGGACGCAAGUCUGAUGGAGCAACGCUGCGUGAGUGAAGAAGGGUUUCGGCUCGUAAAGCUCUGUUGUUAAAGAAGAACGUGGGUAAGAGUAACUGUUUACCCAGUGACGGUAUUUAACCAGAAAGCCACGGCUAACUACGCGCCAG
rnacentral:rRNA from 1 species